rnacentral:rRNA from 1 species
CACUUCUAAGGAAGGCAGCAGGCGCGCAAAUUACCCAAUCCUGACUCAGGGAGGUAGUGACAAGAAAUAACAAUAAACCGGCUUAUGCCGGUUUAAUUGGAAUGAGUACAAUUUAAACAUCUUAACGAGGAACAAUUGGAGGGCAAGUCUGGUGCCAGCAGCCGCGGUAAUUCCAGCUCCAAUAGCGUAUACUAAAGUUGUUGCAGUUAAAAAGCUCGUAGUUGGAUUUCUGUGGGGACGGAGCGGCCGGCCGCACAUCGCGGUUCGAGCUAGCGCUUUCCCUACAUCCUGCCGCGAACCGUGCUACCAUUAAUUUGGUGGCGCUGGGGAUCGGCUCGAUUACUUUGAGAAAAAUAGAGUGUUCAAAGCAGGCCACAUGCCUUGAAUAAGUUAGCAUGGAAUAAUAACUAAGGACUUCGGUUCUAUUUUGUUGGUGUUCGGGACUGAAGUAAUGAUUGAUAGGGACAGUUGGGGCGGUCUGUAUUCCAAAGCGAGAGGUGAAAUUCUUAGACCUUCGGAAGACAAACAGCUGCGAAAGCGUUCCGCAAGGAUGUUCCCUUUGAUCAAGAACGAAAGUUGGGGGAUCGAAGACGAUCAGAUACCGUCGUAGUCUCAACUAUAAACUAUACCAGCUAGGGAUCGGCCAACGUUAUUCUAUACCGACUUGGUCGGCACCUUAUGAGAAAUCAAAGCAUCUGGGUUCCGGGGGGAGUAUGGUCGCAAGGCUGAAACUUAAAGGAAUUGACGGAAGGGCACCACCUGCCGUGGAGCCUGUGGCUUAAUUUGACUCAACACGGGAAAACUUACCAGGUCCAGACAUAGUAAGGAUUGACAGAUUGAUAGCUCUUUCUUGAUUCUGUGGGUGGUGGUGCAUGGCCGUUCUUAGUUGGUGGAGUGAUUUGUCUGGUUAAUUCCGUUAACGAACGAGACCCCAGCCUGCUAAAUAGCGCGCGUGAGCUUUGCUCGCGGCGAGCUUCUUAGAGGGACUAUGAUACGCGAUAGCACAUGGAAGUUUGGGGCAAUAACAGGUCUGUGAUGCCCUUAGAUGUUCUGGGCCGCACACGGGCUACACUGGCGCCUGCAACGAGCAUAUCAGCUGGCCCGAGAGGGUCUUGGCUAAUCUUUUGAACCGGCGCCGUGCUUGGGAUUGACCUUUGCAAUUGUUGGUCAUGCAACGAGGAAUGCCUUGUAAACGCGAGUCAUCAGCUCGCAUUGAAUACGUCCCUGCCCUUUGUACACACCGCCCGUCGCUCCUACCGAUGAAUGUUCCGAUGAAAUUUUCGGAGAGCACCUGUGAACUUGGCUCUGCCUUGCGAACGGGAAGCUCAAAGUCACUUAAAUCUGAACAUUU